rnacentral:lncRNA from 1 species
CUUUGAAAAAAAAAAUUUUAAUAAUGUAAGUUUAACAACACAUAAGGUUACUAGCGAAAAUGUAGAGCCUAUACACAGUUUAGAAAAUAGAAGUAGUACUAGUAGUAGUAGUAAUAGCAGUAGUAAUAGUAGUAGUAAUAGCAGUAGUAGUUGUCAUUGUGAUAGAAAUGGAGUUGGAGUUACAAACGAAAAUAGGAAGUCACAGAUACAACAAUUAUCGCAACUUACACGUGAGCAAAACGAUGUAGAAGCAGGAAAGCUUGAACCUAAAAAGGAUUGUAACGUUUUUCAAGGUAAACAAAAUAAUAAAAAUGAGCAAAAUAAAUAUGACUCUGUAACUAAAAACAUAAAUGAUGAGUCUAUAAUAAAUAAAAAUUUUAAUAAUAACAAUUUGGAGAGAAAUAAAAUGCAAAGUAAUGUAACAAAUGAAUUAAAUGAGCUCAUAAAAUCAAUAAAAAUGUUAAAUGAUAGUAAAAGAAAACAAAUAAUUAUGUAUAUUAAUACAUUAGAUAAAAAGUUUUUACAAAGUAUAGACGAAAGUAUUGCUGUUUUUUUUGAAAACUUGGACCAGUAUAUGGCAGCAAAUGGGUUAUUAAUUUGUGAUGUUGGGGGGAAAGAAAUUUAUGACUAUAUAUUGGGUGUCGACACGGGUGAACAUGGAGAAAGUGGAGAAAGUGGAGCAAGCGGGACAAGCGGAGCAAAACACCUAAUCAACGUCAAUACGUUAUUCGAUAUAAACUACAUCAAAGAAAAAAAGAAACUACUUUAUAAAGAUAAUAUAUACCCUGUAGUUGAUCAACAUUUAAGAAAAAAUAAAGUUAACCUGGAUAUAUCUACAAAUAUGAAUAGUAGUAGUGCGCAUAAAUGUAACAAGGAUAAUGAUACUGAUAAUCUUGAAAGUGAUAGCACUUGUAGUAAUAGCUAUUAUGAUGAAGAGGAUAUUAUAAAUGAACGGCGACAAAUGUUAAUAGAACGAUCCUCUUAUAUGAAAGCCAUUGAUGAAGCAGAAGAGUAUGUGUCAAAUUUACAUAAUAUAAAAAAAAUAACAGAAGUUCAAGGGUUAAGUAAAAUAUAUUUAAACUGGGUUAACGAAUUAGAAAGAAAAAUUAUUUUAUAUAAAAAAGAAAACGAAAAUAAUAAAAAAAAAAAAAAAAAAAAUAUAUUACCUGAUAUAUUAGAGGAUAAACUAUUAGCUAUUAUUACUGUUAAAUGGGCUAUACAAUAUACAUUCAAUCCUUUAAAAAAAAAA